rnacentral:lncRNA from 1 species
UAAUCUACUUUAUGUUUCUGCUGCACAGUUAUCCAUAUUGAGUAUUGCGCAUAAAUGGAAUUAGAAAAAAUGUGGGCUUUUGUGUCUGACUUUUUUCACUCAGUACCGUGUUGUCAAGGUUUACCAUAUUGUGGUCCUGGGGGAAGGCAGGAAAGGAGCACUUGCUUAAAAUAUUUAUUUGUAGCCAGCUGUGUCUCCCACCACCACAAAGUCGGAUUGGAAAUGCCCCCUGAGAUAAGAGUUGGCCUCUCUGAGCUUCUCUUUUGAAGCGUAGCCCU